GCAAGGUUAACCGUAUAGGGGAGCCGGAGGGAAACCGAGUCUUAAUUGGGCGUUAAGUUGCAGGGUAUAGACCCGAAACCCGGUGAUCUAGCCAUGGGCAGGUUGAAGGUUGGGUAACACUAACUGGAGGACCGAACCGACUAAUGUUGAAAAAUUAGCGGAUGACCUGUGGCUGGGGGUGAAAGGCCAAUCAAACCGGGAGAUAGCUGGUUCUCCCCGAAAGCUAUUUAGGUAGCGCCUCGUGAAUUCAUCUCCGGGGGUAGAGCACUGUUUCGGCUAGGGGGCCAUCCCGGCUUACCAACCCGAUGCAAACUGCGAAUACCGGAGAAUGUUAUCACGGGAGACACACGGCGGGUGCUAACGUCCGUCGUGAAGAGGGAAACAACCCAGACCGCCAGCUAAGGUCCCAAAGUCAUGGUUAAGUGGGAAACGAUGUGGGAAGGCCCAGACAGCCAGGAUGUUGGCUUAGAAGCAGCCAUCAUUUAAAGAAAGCGUAAUAGCUCACUGGUCGAGUCGGCCUGCGCGGAAGAUGUAACGGGGCUAAACCAUGCACCGAAGCUGCGGCAGCGAACGUAUCACCCAAGACAACUUUACGGAGUUGACGAUUGACGGAGCGAAGCGACGUCAAAGCGUUCAUUAAAGUCGAGUUGGCUUAGGGAUACGUUCGUUGGGUAGGGGAGCGUUCUGUAAGCCUGUGAAGGUGUGUCGUGAGGCAUGCUGGAGGUAUCAGAAGUGCGAAUGCUGACAUAAGUAACGAUAAAGCGGGUGAAAAGCCCGCUCGCCGGAAGACCAAGGGUUCCUGUCCAACGUUAAUCGGGGCAGGGUGAGUCGACCCCUAAGGCGAGGCCGAAAGGCGUAGUCGAUGGGAAACGGGUUAAUAUUCCCGUACUUGGUGUUACUGCGAAGGGGGGACGGAGAAGGCUAUGUUGGCCGGGCGACGGUUGUCCCGGUUUAAGCGUGUAGGUGUGUGUUCCAGGUAAAUCCGGUU
rnacentral:rRNA from 1 species